UACGGGGGGAGCAAGCGUUGUUCGGAUUUACUGGGCGUAAAGGGCGCGUAGGCGGCGUGACAAGUCACUUGUGAAAUCUCCGGGCUUAACUCGGAGCGGCCAAGUGAUACUGUCGUGCUAGAGUGCGGAAGGGGCUACUGGAAUUCUCGGUGUAGCGGUGAAAUGCGUAGAUAUCGGGAGGAACACCAGUGGCGAAGGCGACUACCUGGCCCACUCUUGACGCUGAGGCGCGAAAGCUAGGGGAGCGAACGGG
rnacentral:rRNA from 1 species